GACGAACGCUGGCGGCGUGCUUAACACAUGCAAGUCGAACGAAGAGCGAUGGAAGCUUGCUUCUAUCAAUCUUAGUGGCGAACGGGUGAGUAACGCGUAAUCAACCUGCCCUUCAGAGGGGGACAACAGUUGGAAACGACUGCUAAUACCGCAUACGAUCUAAUCUCGGCAUCGAGGAAAGAUGAAAGGUGGCCUCUAUUUAUAAGCUAUCACUGAAGGAGGGGAUUGCGUCUGAUUAGCUAGUUGGAGGGGUAACGGCCCACCAAGGCGAUGAUCAGUAGCCGGUCUGAGAGGAUGAACGGCCACAUUGGGACUGAGACACGGCCCAGACUCCUACGGGAGGCAGCAGUGGGGAAUCUUCCGCAAUGGACGAAAGUCUGACGGAGCAACGCCGCGUGAGUGAUGACGGCCUUCGGGUUGUAAAGCUCUGUUAAUCGGGACGAAAGGCCUUCUUGCGA
rnacentral:rRNA from 1 species